rnacentral:rRNA from 1 species
GCCUAAUACAUGCAAGUCGAGGGGUAGAGAGAGCUUGCUUUCUUGAGACCGGCGCACGGGUGCGUAACGCGUAUGCAACCUACCUUUAUCUGGGGGAUAGCCCGGAGAAAUCCGGAUUAAUACCGCAUAAAAUCACAGAAUAGCAUUAUUUAAUGAUCAAACAUUUAUGGGAUGAAGAUGGGCAUGCGUGUCAUUAGCUAGUUGGCGGGGUAACGGCCCACCAAGGCGACGAUGACUAGGGGAUCUGAGAGGAUGGCCCCCCACACUGGUACUGAGACACGGACCAGACUCCUACGGGAGGCAGCAGUAAGGAAUAUUGGUCAAUGGAGGCAACUCUGAACCAGCCAUGCCGCGUGCAGGAAGACUGCCCUAUGGGUUGUAAACUGCUUUUAUCCGGGAAUAAACCUUUCUACGUGUAGGAAGCUGAAUGUACCGGAAGAAUAAGGAUCGGCUAACUCCGUGCCAGCAGCCGCGGUAAUACGGAGGAUCCAAGCGUUAUCCGGAUUUAUUGGGUUUAAAGGGUGCGUAGGCGGCCUGUUAAGUCAGGGGUGAAAGACGGUAGCUCAACUAUCGCAGUGCCCUUGAUACUGAUGGGCUUGAAUGGACUAGAGGUAGGCGGAAUGAGACAAGUAGCGGUGAAAUGCAUAGAUAUGUCUCAGAACACCGAUUGCGAAGGCAGCUUACUAUGGUCUUAUUGACGCUGAGGCACGAAAGCGUGGGGAUCAAACAGGAUUAGAUACCCUGGUAGUCCACGCCCUAAACGAUGAACACUCGCUGUUGGCGAUACACAGUCAGCGGCUAAGCGAAAGCGUUAAGUGUUCCACCUGGGGAGUACGCCCGCAAGGGUGAAACUCAAAGGAAUUGACGGGGGCCCGCACAAGCGGAGGAGCAUGUGGUUUAAUUCGAUGAUACGCGAGGAACCUUACCCGGGCUUGAAAGUUAGUGAAUGAUCUAGGGAUAGAUCAGUGAGCAAUCACACGAAACUAGGUGCUGCAUGGCUGUCGUCAGCUCGUGCCGUGAGGUGUUGGGUUAAGUCCCGCAACGAGCGCAACCCCUAUGUUUAGUUGCCAGCAUGUAAUGAUGGGGACUCUAAACAGACUGCCUGUGCAAACAGAGAGGAAGGAGGGGACGACGUCAAGUCAUCAUGGCCCUUACGUCCGGGGCUACACACGUGCUACAAUGGAUGGUACAGAGGGCAGCUAGCUGGCAACAGUAUGCGAAUCUCACAAAGCCAUUCACAGUUCGGAUUGGGGUCUGCAACUCGACCCCAUGAAGUUGGAUUCGCUAGUAAUCGCGUAUCAGCAAUGACGCGGUGAAUACGUUCCCGGGCCUUGUACACACCGCCCGUCAAGCCAUGGAAGUUGGGGGUACCUAAAGUAUGUAACCGCAAGGAGCGUCCUAGGGUAAAACCGAUAACUGGGGCUAAGUCGU